rnacentral:tRNA from 1 species
AGGGCCGUAGUCUAGCCUGGUAGGAUGCGCGGUUCGGGUCCGCGUGACCCCGGGUUCAAAUCCCGGCGGCCCCACCA